UGGCUCUCGCAUCGAUGAAGAACGCAGCGAAAUGCGAUAAGUAAUGUGAAUUGCAGAAUUCAGUGAAUCAUCGAAUCUUUGAACGCACCUUGCGCCCCUUGGUAUUCCGAGGGGCAUGCCUGUUUGAGUGUCAUUUAAUUAUCAAGCCCCCAAGUUGGCUCUCCUAAGCCCGCUCGGUGUCUUGGACUUUGGAGCGUGCGGGCUGAGAAUCCUGCUCCUCUCGAAAUGCAUCAGCAGAUGUCCAAGCCUUCUGCGGCGUGAUAGCUAAUCUACGUCGCGCCAAGGGGGUGUGGGGAAAGUCUGCUUCAAACAGUUGUCCAUCGCGCAACGAAAUUUCUUGACAAUUUGACCUCAAAUCAGGUAGGAUUACCCGCUGA
rnacentral:misc_RNA from 1 species